GUCACAGUUGAAUUGUUGCCCAGCAAAUGAAUGAAGCAGAUCAUGAUAUUAGUGGUGAUGGGAGGAAACACUUGAGUUGGAAAAGGCUCUGUGAUUUUGCCAGAAUGAAAGAAAUCAGUGUGCUGAAGCUUGGAGUCUGAGGGCACAAUGUGGAGACAAGAUCUGGGAGCUAAAGGGAAGAUAAGUGUUGUGGGAUUUGUUUAACUCCUGGAGGCACUGACUUGCCAUGUAAAUGACCCAUCAGGGAACAGAGAAGAAAGGACCAGCUAUGGGGUUGAAAUGACCUCAGUGGAAGCUGACAUAAUGCAGAGGGUUGUGCCUGCUGCUACAGAAUCC